rnacentral:rRNA from 1 species
GGGUUGUGAGGUUAAGCGACUAAGCGUACACGGUGGAUGCCCUGGCAGUCAGAGGCGAUGAAGGACGUGCUAAUCUGCGAAAAGCGUCGGUAAGGUGAUAUGAACCGUUAUAACCGGCGAUGUCCGAAUGGGGAAACCCAGUGCAAUUCGUUGCACUAUCGUUAACUGAAUACAUAGGUUAACGAGGCGAACCGGGGGAACUGAAACAUCUAAGUACCCCGAGGAAAAGAAAUCAACCGAGAUUCCCCCAGUAGCGGCGAGCGAACGGGGAGCAGCCCAGAGUCUGAAUCAGCUUGUGUGUUAGUGGAACGGUCUGGAAAGUCCGACGGUACAGGGUGAUAGUCCCGUACACCAAAAUGCACAGGCUGUGAACUCGAAGAGUAGGGCGGGACACGUGGUAUCCUGUCUGAAUAUGGGGGGACCAUCCUCCAAGGCUAAAUACUCCUGACUGACCGAUAGUGAACCAGUACCGUGAGGGAAAGGCGAAAAGAACCCCGGCGAGGGGAGUGAAAAAGAACCUGAAACCGUGUACGUACAAGCAGUGGGAGCACCUUCGGGUGUGACUGCGUACCUUUUGUAUAAUGGGUCAGCGACUUAUAUUCUGUAGCAAGGUUAACCGUAUAGGGGAGCCGCAGGGAAACCGAGUCUUAACUGGGCGUUAAGUUGCAGGGUAUAGACCCGAAACCCGGUGAUCUAGCCAUGGGCAGGUUGAAGGUUGGGUAACACUAACUGGAGGACCGAACCGACUAAUGUUGAAAAAUUAGCGGAUGACUUGUGGCUGGGGGUGAAAGGCCAAUCAAACCGGGAGAUAGCUGGUUCUCCCCGAAAGCUAUUUAGGUAGCGCCUCGUGAACUCAUCUUCGGGGGUAGAGCACUGUUUCGGCUAGGGGGUCAUCCCGACUUACCAACCCGAUGCAAACUACGAAUACCGAAGAAUGUUAUCACGGGAGACACACGGCGGGUGCUAACGUCCGUCGUGAAGAGGGAAACAACCCAGACCGCCAGCUAAGGUCCCAAAGUCAUGGUUAAGUGGGAAACGAUGUGGGAAGGCACAGACAGCCAGGAUGUUGGCUUAGAAGCAGCCAUCAUUUAAAGAAAGCGUAAUAGCUCACUGGUCGAGUCGGCCUGCGCGGAAGAUGUAACGGGGCUAAACCAUGCACCGAAGCUGCGGCAGCGACACUAUGUGUUGUUGGGUAGGGGAGCGUUCUGUAAGCCUGCGAAGGUGACCUGUGAGGGUUGCUGGAGGUAUCAGAAGUGCGAAUGCUGACAUAAGUAACGAUAAAGCGGGUGAAAAGCCCGCUCGCCGGAAGACCAAGGGUUCCUGUCCAACGUUAAUCGGGGCAGGGUGAGUCGACCCCUAAGGCGAGGCCGAAAGGCGUAGUCGAUGGGAAACAGGUUAAUAUUCCUGUACUUGGUGUUACUGCGAAGGGGGGACGGAGAAGGCUAUGUUAGCCGGGCGACGGUUGUCCCGGUUUAAGCAUGUAGGCUGGUUGUCCAGGCAAAUCCGGAUAAUCAAGGCUGAGGUGUGAUGACGAGGCACUACGGUGCUGAAGUAACAAAUGCCCUGCUUCCAGGAAAAGCCUCUAAGCAUCAGGUAACAUUAAAUCGUACCCCAAACCGACACAGGUGGUCAGGUAGAGAAUACCAAGGCGCUUGAGAGAACUCGGGUGAAGGAACUAGGCAAAAUGGUGCCGUAACUUCGGGAGAAGGCACGCUGGUGUGUAGGUGAAGUCCCUGCGGAUGGAGCUGAGACCAGUCGAAGAUACCAGCUGGCUGCAACUGUUUAUUAAAAACACAGCACUGUGCAAACACGAAAGUGGACGUAUACGGUGUGACGCCUGCCCGGUGCCGGAAGGUUAAUUGAUGGGGUUAUCCGUAAGGAGAAGCUCUUGAUCGAAGCCCCGGUAAACGGCGGCCGUAACUAUAACGGUCCUAAGGUAGCGAAAUUCCUUGUCGGGUAAGUUCCGACCUGCACGAAUGGCGUAAUGAUGGCCAGGCUGUCUCCACCCGAGACUCAGUGAAAUUGAACUCGCUGUGAAGAUGCAGUGUACCCGCGGCAAGACGGAAAGACCCCGUGAACCUUUACUAUAGCUUGACACUGAACAUUGAGCCUUGAUGUGUAGGAUAGGUGGGAGGCUUUGAAGCGUGGACGCCAGUCUGCGUGGAGCCAACCUUGAAAUACCACCCUUUAAUGUUUGAUGUUCUAACGUUGGCCCCUUACCGGGGUUGCGGACAGUGUCUGGUGGGUAGUUUGACUGGGGCGGUCUCCUCCCAAAGCGUAACGGAGGAGCACGAAGGUUAGCUAAUCCUGGUCGGACAUCAGGAGGUUAGUGCAAUGGCAUAAGCUAGCUUGACUGCGAGCGUGACGGCGCGAGCAGGUGCGAAAGCAGGUCAUAGUGAUCCGGUGGUUCUGAAUGGAAGGGCCAUCGCUCAACGGAUAAAAGGUACUCCGGGGAUAACAGGCUGAUACCGCCCAAGAGUUCAUAUCGACGGCGGUGUUUGGCACCUCGAUGUCGGCUCAUCACAUCCUGGGGCUGAAGUAGGUCCCAAGGGUAUGGCUGUUCGCCAUUUAAAGUGGUACGCGAGCUGGGUUUAGAACGUCGUGAGACAGUUCGGUCCCUAUCUGCCGUGGGCGCUGGAGAAUUGAGGGGGGCUGCUCCUAGUACGAGAGGACCGGAGUGGACGCAUCACUGGUGUUCGGGUUGUCAUGCCAAUGGCACUGCCCGGUAGCUAAAUGCGGAAGAGAUAAGUGCUGAAAGCAUCUAAGCACGAAACUUGCCCCGAGAUGAGUUCUCCCUGAGACUUUAAGUCUCCUGAAGGAACGUUGAAGACGACGACGUUGAUAGGCCGGGUGUGUAAGCGCAGCGAUGCGUUGAGCUAACCGGUACUAAUGAACCGUGAGGCUUAACCUUACAACGCCGAAG